GCGCCAGUAGCUCAGUUGGAUUAGAGCAUCUGUCUUCGGAACAGAGGGUCGGGGGUUCAAGUCCCUCCUGGCGCACCA
rnacentral:tRNA from 1 species